GAUGAACGCUGGCGGCGUGCCUAAUACAUGCAAGUCGAGCGAACGGACGAGAAGCUUGCUUCUCUGAUGUUAGCGGCGGACGGGUGAGUAACACGUGGAUAACCUACCUAUAAGACUGGGAUAACUUCGGGAAACCGGAGCUAAUACCGGAUAAUAUUUUGAACCGCAUGGUUCAAAAGUGAAAGACGGUCUUGCUGUCACUUAUAGAUGGAUCCGCGCUGCAUUAGCUAGUUGGUAAGGUAACGGCUUACCAAGGCAACGAUGCAUAGCCGACCUGAGAGGGUGAUAGGCCACACUGGAACUGAGACACGGUCCAGACUCCGACGGGAGGCAGCAGUAGGGAAGCUUCCGCAAUGGGCGAAAGCCUGACGGAGCAACGCCGCGUGAGUGAUGAAGGUCUUCGGAUCGUAAAACUCUGUUAUUAGGGAAGAACAUAUGUGUAAGUAACUGUGCACAUCUUGACGGUACCUAAUCAGAAAGCCACGGCUAACUACGUG
rnacentral:rRNA from 1 species